rnacentral:lncRNA from 1 species
CACAGAGGGCUCCAGCGUGAUUGCCACUGGUUAAUGACCUGCCACCCCCGCCCCCCCAACCUCUGGUGCCGUCCAAGGACUCUGACCCCAGUGCAGUGUCUGUAGGGAAGAGGAGCCAUGGGGCUUCGGGCAGGCCCCAUCCUGCUUCUGCUGCUGUGGCUGCUGCCAGAAUGCGGCCACUCCAAGGAGGCCGGGAGGAUUGUGGGAGGCCAAGACACCCAGGAAGGACGCUGGCCGUGGCAGGUUGGCCUGUGGUUGACCUCAGUGGGGCAUGUAUGUGGGGGCUCCCUCAUCCACCCACGCUGGGUGCUCACAGCCGCCCACUGCUUCCUGAGGGUGACUCCGGGGGGCCGCUGGUCUGCCCCAUCAAUGAUACGUGGAUCCAGGCCGGCAUUGUGAGCUGGGGAUUCGGCUGUGCCCGGCCUUUCCGGCCUGGUGUCUACACCCAGGUGCUAAGCUACACAGACUGGAUUCAGAGAACCCUGGCUGAAUCUCACUCAGGCAUGUCUGGGGCCCGCCCAGGUGCCCCAGGAUCCCACUCAGGCACCUCCAGAUCCCACCCAGUGCUGCUGCUUGAGCUGUUGACCGUAUGCUUGCUUGGGUCCCUGUGAACCAUGAGCCAUGGAGUCCGGGAUCCCCUUUCUGGUAGGAUUGAUGGAAUCUAAUAAUAAAAACUGUAGGUUUUUUAUGUGUAUUUUA